AAAACUGGAAUGAUACAAAGAAGAUUAGCAUGGCCCUUGCGCAAGCAUGAUAUACAAAUUCAUGAAGCAUUCCAUGCUAAA
ensembl:snRNA RNU6-1294P RNA, U6 small nuclear 1294, pseudogene